UACAUACUGUGCGAACGUUAUUCGGAUUCACUGGGCUUAAAGGGUGCGUAGGCGGCUUGUUAAGUAGGGUGUGAAAGCCCCCAGCUCAACUGGGGAACUGCACUCUAUACUGGCAAGCUAGAGUGAGAUAAAAGUGUGUGGAACUGCCAGUGGAGCGGUGAAAUGUGUUGAUAUUGGCAGGAACGCCGGUGGCAAAAGCGACACACUGGGUCUCAACUGACGCUGAGGCACGAAAGCCAGGGGAGCGAACGGG
rnacentral:rRNA from 1 species